AGCGAACGCUGGCGGCAGGCUUAACACAUGCAAGUCGAGCGGGCACUUUCGGGUGUCAGCGGCGGACGGGUGAGUAACGCGUGGGAACGUGCCCUCUGGUUCGGAAUAACUCAGGGAAACUUGAUCUAAUACCGGAUACGCCCUUUUGGGGAAAGGCUUGCUGCCGGAGGAUCGGCCCGCGUCUGAUUAGCUAGUUGGUGGGGUAACGGCUCACCAAGGCGACGAUCAGUAGCUGGUCUGAGAGGAUGAUCAGCCACACUGGGACUGAGACACGGCCCAGACUCCUACGGGAGGGAGCAGUGGGGAAUAUUGGACGAUGGGCGCAAGCCUGAUCCAGCCAUGCCGCGUGAGUGAUGAAGGCCUUAGGGUUGUAAAGCUCUUUUAUCCGGGACGAUAAUGACGGUACCGGAGGAAUAAGCCCCGGCUAACUUCGUG
rnacentral:rRNA from 1 species